UAACAAGGUUUCCGUAGGUGAACCUGCGGAAGGAUCAUUAAUAAUGCUCUCUGGCUUCGGUCAGUUGAGUUCAAUGAGUGCCUUCUCUUCGGAGUUGGCCAUCCAUACACACCGUGAACUGUGGCUUCGGCCAUCACAAACUGUUAGUAAUGAAUGUAAUAUCAUAACAAAAACAAAACUUUUAACAACGGAUCUCUUGGCUCUCGCAUCGAUGAAGAACGCAGCGA
rnacentral:misc_RNA from 1 species